AUACGGAGGAUCCAAGCGUUAUCCGGAUUUAUUGGGUUUAAAGGGUGCGUAGGCGGACUGGUAAGUCAGCUGUGAAAGUUUGCGGCUUAACCGUAAAAUUGCAGUUGAUACUGUCAGUCUUGAGUGUGCAUGAGGUGGGCGGAAUUUGUGGUGUAGCGGUGAAAUGCUUAGAUAUCACGAGGAACUCCAAUUGCGAAGGCAGCUCACUGGGGCAUAACUGACGCUGAUGCACGAAGGUGUGGGUAUCAAACAGGAUUAGAUACCCUGGUAGUCCACACAGUAAACUAUGAAUACUCGCUGUUUGCGAUAUACAGUAAGCGGCCAAGCGAAAGCAUUAAGCAUUCCACCUGGGGAGUACGCCGGCAACGGUGAAACUUAAAGGAAUUGACGGGG
rnacentral:rRNA from 1 species